rnacentral:rRNA from 1 species
GGGCUUGACAUCCCACGAACCUGCCGAAAGGCAGGGGUGCCCGCAAGGGAGCGCGGAGACAGGUGGUGCAUGGCUGUCGUCAGCUCGUGUCGUGAGAUGUUGGGUUAAGUCCCGCAACGAGCGCAACCCUCGUUCUCUGUUGCCAUCAGGUUAUGCUGGGCACUCUGAAGAGACUGCCGGUGACAAACCGGAGGAAGGUGGGGAUGACGUCAAGUCAGCAUGGCCUUUAUGUCUGGGGCCACACACGUGCUACAAUGGCCGGCACAAACCGUCGCGAUACCGCAAGGUGGAGCUAAUCGGAGAAAGCCGGUCUCAGUUCGGAUCGCAGGCUGCAACCCGCCUGCGUGAAGUUGGAAUCGCUAGUAAUCGCAGAUCAGCAGGCUGCGGUGAAUACGUUCCCGGGCCUUGUACACACCGCCCGUCACAUCACGAAAGCUGGCUGUACUCGAAGUCGCUGAG